AUGAUGCUUGUGUUUCCUUCUCCUAGAGCCUGGGAGAGCUGCAGGGAGAUCCUUGUGCUCUCCUCUUUCCAGAGGCACCUCCUCCUCCCUGCAGAGAUAAUUGGCAUGACUGGCAUAAAUAGAUCCAUAUAGCUCUCUAUAAAUACACCCAUCUUUAGCUAUAUAUAUAUAUAUAUAUAUAUAUUUUUUUUCUUUUUCUAAAGACUUGGCAAGAAUUCCCUUGGAGCCCUUUCCAUGACACAAUAGAAAAGCAGCAGAGUCAUCAAGUUUGCUCGUUCCCACAAAUACAGCUUUGGGUUGACCUUUGCAAGGCUCCCUUGAACCCUGCUUCCAGUAACUCAGCCCCUCCAGCCCUCACAGGCCGCAUACCCCUGGCAACCACAAGACACAACUCCGUUUCCUGAAGCUGCCCCUUUCUUCCUCAUUGGCCUCUGUCUGAAAGCCAAGGAAAAAAAAAAAAAAGAAUCCACUGCUUUUGACCUAUCAUUUUAAAAUAAAGCAUAGGCUUUGUAUGUGAGCUCCGGCUGGCAGCAGGAAGAAAUGAGGCAGGCAGCAGAGUCCCUCAGCACGCAGGGAUGGUGUCGUGAAGGGCGGGGUGUGGGUGGCUUCCGAGUGGUUAGACCUCUGUGCAGGAUGAUGCCACCAAGGCAGCAGGCUUAACAACCUCUGGGGAAGUAAGCCAAGAUGCGGUGGGUCUCCCUCUGAUGGCUUCUGGGAUAAACAGGAGGAAUCCAGGGCGGAAGCACGCCGGAGCGGGAAAAGCCACCCAGGUAAUGACUUUCGAGGGCGAUGUCAUUAGGCACAGACUCUAAGAACCGUCUCUCCAUCACCCUGCAUCAGCAUUGCUGGACACAGGCGGAGCCGGGAGGAGGGAACAGCUGGCUCCUCUCUCUUCUUCUCCCUCCACUGCUAAAGGCUUUGGAGACUGGAGGCAGCCCCGGGGACUUUCACGUGAGGUAUUAAGAGCCUAGCCACAUGUUGACACCACAUUUCAUCCUGAAACAGGUUUCCUUUUCUUGAUUUUCCAAGGAGGGGUUGGAGGAGUGGAUUCAUAAGUGGAAAGUAGAAAAUACCCAAGAAUAGGCGAAUCAACAGAGAAAUGCAGAAAAGGUAUUUUGGCAAAAAAAAAAAAAGCUCCAAACUUAGGACUCCAGCUCCUCCAGCCUUGCUUGUUCGGUAUUCUUUCUUUCUGAAGUUGGGUUGUUAUCCCUGCACCAGAGAAUGCCAGCAGGUGUUGCUGGCAGCUGUUUAAUGACAGUGUCAAGAAUGUCUUUCAGGAAGGUAGGCUUGGAGGCAGGAGGCGGUGAUGGGGAAAAUGGGAUGGCGGGGGGAGGAGUAGGUGGCCCCACAUCUGUGGCGAGGGAGCCAAGCAAUGGAGUGCUGCUCUGGGAAUUGCAAUGUUAUUUUGUACAAAGGUCUUCCUGUAGGAAGUAAGGGGGAGGGACGAGAGACAUAUUUCAGUGUUUUGCGGACUUAAAAAUUCUGAGCUGGAAUUACGAGCAGCUCACUAUGUCUCUAGGCAAAUACUUUAGCUCCUCUCCUCCGCAUCCCCCACUUGCUCCUUAAUGGUUACUGACUCCUGUGAGGAUCAAGUGGAAGGACCUGGAGUACGUGGGAGAGCCAUCCCAGAAGCCCCCACAUCUGGAAAAGGUAAUGGCUCGCAUCCUGGCAGGGGCGUGUCACAGACCUUGGAGAGGGAGAUGCUUCGGUUACCUAGCUGAUCUCAGCUCUGCAGGGAGCCAGAGACAGCAGGCAGGGCUGGCUUUAGAAGGAGACGGGCAGUAGCCUUCACAAGGAGGGCAUUCCUUGUGAGCACUUGAGAUCUGAAAUGCUUUUCUGCUCUCUGCCCAAGCUUAGUCCCCUACAACCGAUCUCAUGAAGGCAACUCUGAAAACUUUCCGGGUCAAAAAUCUUCCUUGGAGAGACCAUGACACCAAGAGUUGUGGGAAGCUAGAUGUCCUCAGGGCACCUGGCCCUUCCCGAACUGUUGGUCCCCUUCCUGCUGGGAUGGUGACCAAGACCUGGUGGAAAUUUCUGGCGUUUUGCUCUCCACCUGCAGGGCAUCACCAGGUCACAUAUUCCUGGAGUCUAACCUGCACAUGUCUGCUUCUCUUUCCAGGGCCUUCUUCAUUUUAUUAUUUUAAUGGGGAGGGGUGUUAUUUAACCUACCAUCACACAUGUAAACAUGUGCAGUUGAGGGGGAGGAGGGCAAGGCUUGGGGCAGCAGUUAAAGCACGGAACUGUAAUUGCCCGGGUUACGAGACAUAUGGUCAGGCUGCAAUGGUGACCUAGCAAUAGCAAUGUCUCAGAGUAUCUGAGGCACCUAAUAAGAUGUGGCGGGGUGGGGCGGGGGAAAGAAUGAGAGUACUGACCCUAACAUUUGCUUUCCAAAUGCUUUCACACAUAUUAUUUCACUCAAUCUUCCCGUUAGUCCUUAAAACUAGGAACCAGAAUUAUCAAGGUCUCCAUUUUAGAUAUAGGGGAACAGGACAACUUCCCCAAGGUCAAUGGCUACAGAGCAACAGCUGGAGCUCAGGCUCCUUGACGUCUGGGCUCCUAUUCCCCUGUUCCGUACCCACCCCUGCCCCAGCUGCACUGCCAGAACCUCUGUGAGAGGGCCCAUAGCAUCCUGUCUUCAGAGGAAGCGAGAUGCAGGCAAAAAUAGCCCAUGCCUUCAAAUAGACUGCAGGUACCCGAGGAAAGGACCCUUGUUGCGUUGUCCUUUAAAUCUCCUGUGACCCAUCGCCUACAGGGUUCCGAGAACAUUUUUUAAAUGGUUGCUUAAGUAGGAUAUAAGAAAGAAUCCAGCGAGGGAGCUGAGGCAUCGUGGGGACUGUGAUCUUUGAACCAGGAAAGGAGAACUUCUGUCAAGGCUCCAGGACUCACGGACUGAAUCAUCUACUGGGAGCUGUUUACACCACCUUCCAAACGGAGAUAAGGUCCACCUCGCAAGCCGCUGCCGGAACUGAACGAGACGGGGAGUGAGAAGGGACCCUGCGUGUUGUAAUGACUAAUGCUGGAUCUUCCUGACCCUGCAGUUCAGGAGGCCACCCAAGAUAAGACAGCAGAGAGGAAAGGGAGCUCCUCUUCUGAGGGUCCUUAGAGCAGAGCUCAUGCCCUCCUGCUCCGGGCGGGCUGGGUGUAGUGCACCCAGGAGGGGAGGUUGGGCUAUGUCCAGGGGGCAAAAGGCCUAAGUGCUCAGUAGGUGCUCAGUGAAUGGGUGUCCCUUCUGUUUCCACUCAUUCUAGGAAAGCCGCUGUGGUGAAAAGCUGGACGAGAAGGACAAAGGUCAGUGGUGAGGACAGUCAUUAGUCCAAGGCAUCGUGAAGAUGGCUCCUAGCCCCAGCAUCUGAAAUGAUGUGGGGAUACAACUUUAAAAAGGGUUCGCUGUGCCGCUGCUCACUCUUCCGUGGCAUUCUUCGGGCCUCUGCUGGGUUGAGGGCUAAACGGGAAGUAUGGGUGACUCAUGUGUUGUGCCGGGGAGGUGGCGGCUUUGGUCUAAGUCACCCAGCUAACCGCAAAGGCAGGGCAGGAUGGUGGUCUUGUGACUGAUUUGGGGGCCUAGGCUGACCCACACACACAGGCCCCAGAGAAGGCCCAGAUCAGGUAGAGAGGCCCACCAGGAGGAUGUAGGCUACACCUCCCUCUCCAUGAGCCCCUGGGAAGAGCCGUCCUGGGGCUGAAGUGCGAGAUAGGGAUACUGGCUUGCAUUUCCCGAGGACUCACUCUUCACCAGGCACCACGCUAAAAGCUGAACAUGCCUGACCUCAUUUAAUUAUGAAAAGCACCCUUCAAGGUAUACCUCAUCAUUCUCAUUUCACAGAUGACGAAAUCAGAGCUCAAUAAGGCUAAUUUUCCCAAUACCGUCUACCAAGUAGGUGGGCCAAGAUUUGCACCAAGAUAGUCUGAUUCCAAAGUCCACAUUCUUCCCACGACACAUGCGGGCCCUGUCCAGACAGCCCACCAGGCAGGAGCUACAGAUAAAAUACCACACCUCCUCCAGCACACACUAAAUCAGCACAAGGAGAAGCCGGAGGCUGGCAGAGAGCAGAUCUUUAUCAAGACACUUCAGGAACAGGAGGAGAAAUAUUUCCGCCCUCCUCCCAGCCGAAGGGUUGGUUGUGUUUAUAAGAUGAGACACGUUUUGAAGGGAGGGGAGUGAGGGUGCAAAUCUCAAGCGAAAAUCACCACCCACACCAAAAGAAACUUGAAGGCAAACUGGGGCCUCAAGGACGUGGUUGCAUUGCUCAUGUGUGUGUCUGGGAGCAUGCGUGUCUGUGUGGGGGAGAAGGGCAGGAGGGGGCAGGGAAGGAAAAGCAGUAUCUUUGUCAUCAUACCCAGUGGCAUUUAUCAGCUCCACUUUCCUCCCUAAAAUUGUGCUUCUCCCGGACUUGCUUAUUUCCUAUUUUCUUUCUCCUGCUCUGGAGCAGAGAGCUAGCGUGGUUUAACGGACGAGCACAGACUGUGGGGCCUGCAGACCUGGUCUUCCUCUCCAAAUCCACCACCUGACUGAGUUGUCCAAUAAAUACACGCGACAUGAAUGAAUGGGGAAAUACUUCCGCCUCCCUGCGACUUGGUUUUCUCAUCUGGAAAGAUACAUAGCCCUGGUCCCUGUGCGGCAGAGCCGAUGGGAGGAUUAAAUAAAGCCAAGUGCUUAGCACAGCUGGCUGGCACAGAGUUGAUGACCAAUAAAUGCACAUUGCUUUGCCCCAUUUCUCAGCUGGAGCCCUACAGCAUUUGGGGCGGGAUCAUUCUUUGCUGUGGGGGCUGUUCUGUGCAUCCCAGGGCGUUCAGCAGUUUCCCUGGCCUCCACCCAGUAGAUGCCAGUAGCCCCUUGUGCCCCAGACAAAACAACCAAAUGUCUCCAGACCUUGCCAAAUGUCCAGAGAAUUGCCUCAGUUGAGGGAUACCAGCUUAAAGUAAUUAAUGAUGAUAUCAGCGACAAGUAAUACAUUUGGAAGCACACAGUAAGUACUGAUAGUGAUAUUCACGUUUUUUUUGAAUGAGCAAAUGUAUGAAUGGACAUGUGAAGUAAUCAUGGAUACAGUUCUGCACCUUCAAACCCUUGGUGGCAGGCGGUAUGCAGUCUACUACGUUCUGGACUCCAGAAGGUUGAUGGAAUCACAGAGGGGGCUGGGCAGGGCAUCUUGGUAUCUCUGCUGCCGGCUGUCUUUUGGUGCAGACCUGGUAUCUAGCGGGCUUCUCUGGUAGCUCAGAAGGUAAAGAACCUGCCUGCAAUGCAGGAGACCCAGGUUUGAUCCCCAGGUCAGGAAGAUCCCUUGGGGAAGGAAAUGGUUGCCCACUCUGAUAUUCCCACCUGGAGAAUUCCCUGGACAGGGGAACCUGGUGUGGGCUACGGUCCAUGAGGUUGCAAAGAGUUGGACCCGACUGAGCAACUAACAUACUGGUGCCUAGUGGGGUUUGCAGAUGGAGAAGUGACAGGUGAGUGAGGCUGUGAGUGCAAUGAGGCUGAAGGAAUUUUCCCUUCUGGGAAAGGGUAGUCCCAAAGGAAUCUGCCUGCAGCAGCUGAUGGCUUGAAUUCCCAUGUAUGAGAUGUGAUGGCUUGACUCACGUGCACUCCUCAAAGAAUCCCAUCUCUUGCUCUGGGCCAGCCAGAGACAUUGCUAGGAACUCCUCAGUGCCCCCUUACGUGGAGGAGGACACGCCUGCAGGCCCUUUCUGACUCCCACCGAGAAGAUGCCUUACAAUAGGGGCAGAGAGAUGACUUAUGUUCUAGGAGUUCUUCCUCCCACCCCUCACUUUCCCUGACUCCAUUACUGAAAGACUGCUGUAUUAUGUGGUCCUACAGAUGCCGAGAUGACAAAUGCCAACCACAAUCCCAAAACUGCUGAGUGUACUGAAGAGCAGGGAAAAGAAACAGGACGAUGACAAAACAUAUAAUGACCACAGGGGUGCCUUUUAACGGAGCAAAGCUGGCUCCAGGUGUUGGCUCCUGCGGCGUCACAAGCGACUUGCGUGUGGGUGCCGCUUCAAGCUGAAGUAAAUAAAUAUCACCUCCAGGACCACCAGAGUCCUGGCUGAAGUUUUAAUGAGGCAGAAGUUGGCGGUGAUUGAUUGCAAUCUGUCUGGGACUGAAGCUACUCCGUGUUUUAUGGAUUCCAAGGCAGUGAGACUCUUGGAAAGACUGGAGGUUCAGCAGCAUUUGUGGGAGCAUCACCUCACUGGGUGAGCCCAUGGGCGUUUUGCUUACAUCAUUCAAGAUCUUGCAAGUGACAAGAGACCAUAAUGGGAUGAGUGUUAACUGUGCCGGCUAUGCUUGAAUGCAUACAUGAGUAACUAGGUGCUUGCCCAACAACAAGCUAAUUUAAAGAAUUAGAGGGACUGAUUUAUGCUCUCUGCUUGGUGGGAACCAAAAGAACAGUGACUCCCCAACACUACCCCAACACGAAUCUCUACCCCUUUCAACUUCAAGCACAAAGGGUAAAAUGUUGUUUGCUAAUUUGUAACAAAUUUGGGUACUCGAGGACUGAAUGAAGCACACUGUUUUCCAGGCUUUUCUAUCCACAUGUUCUCUGGUGAGUGUCGGCCACUGGCCCCUGCUGUCCAUCCACACAUUUGCCCUGCCAUAUGCCCACACACAGAAUGCCUAAGUGGACUGUGGAGGUGCGGGCCGGAGGCAGAACUGAGGCAGAUUCCUGUAUGGAAAAGAGCUUCCAUUCCAGGUGAUGCUAAGGCACUCUCCCCCUGUUCUCUAUGCCUCUACGCGCUCAGCACCGAGGAGCCGUGCUGGAGCUCAGGCCCCCUGAAUACCCAAGGAUGUGUUCAGUCCACCUAGGGCCCUGGGUUACUUGAGAAUAAAGAGAAACAGCAGAAACUUGGGUGACUGUGGCGGGGUGAGCAACCCCUGUUCAGCGUUCUCGUGUGUAGUGAGCAAAAGAUCAAAGGCAUUUGGAAUUGAUGCUGCAGCUCACCAUUCAUUUGGAAGAAUCACUUUCCCAUGUGCUGUCCCUGAGAAUAGGUGGGAAAUGGAGUGGCAUUCUCCCGAAUGCCGUGGGUACCAAGAGCUACUGCCUGUCAGCCUGUGCAUCCGAGUAUGUACGUGAGAAAGGGGAAGGGAAGCGGGGACUCUCAUUAGGCACAGAAGCCCCGUGAUAAGCAAUUCAGACACUUCUUUAAAAUCAUUAUGAUCCUUACGAAGUAGAUAUUACUAUCCCUGCUUUAAAGAUGUGAACUCGCAACUCCAAGUUUCCAAGGGGUUACGUAACUUAGCUAAGAUCACAAAUUUAAUAAAUGGGAAGGUUAGGACUUGAACUCAAACCAUUGUCUUCUCACAAUGACUUAAAAACAUGAAAGGAAAAAAAAAUCAAUAAAUGAUAUGGAGGAAAAAUUAUUUUCAGGCUGAAGGUCAAAGGGGCAGGGACUAAUGCAUCUGGUGCACACUGCUGUUCCCAGGGACCACGGCAUGUCACCACACGUGUUGUUGUUGGAAAAGGAUUAGAGGACCUUUGUGUGCACCAUGACAUGUGAUUACUCAGAGGCUGAAUGGGGGCAUCGGGUCUCCAGCGCUGACCUGGGGACCUCAUGAUAAUAAAAGACGGGGCUCCUCAGUCAAUGAAGCUGCUGUAGGUUUAGCCGGGAAGGCAUCUCAUCACCCUGGACAGCUUAUCCUUUCCACCAGGUUAGCAGUGGGCUCCUUGAGGUGUGAGGUUCACUGGUGCUCUCUGGAUGGGAGCCCUUGGAAUCAGUUAUGAGCAGGGAGGUCAUGCUUACUCAUCGCCCUAGAAAUGAGGCCACCUGGGGCUAUCAAUAGGGGUUUGGCUCAGCCCCUUCCAGCCAAGCUUGGGGCAUACCAAGACACUCCUCUUCCCUCAGAUGGUUCAUAUGCCCCUCAAAGUCUGAGAAUGAAAUCACCAGAGUACCUAGUCCCUUAGCCUAAGCUAACUAGAGCUAGGUUAAACUUAAGGAAGACCUUCCUGACUCUCCGCUCUCUGCGGCUGGACCAUGAGCAACCGAGUUGGCUCUGGAAUAUCCUUUCCUAAAGACUUGGAAGUGCGAGAGAGACACCUAAUUGCUGCCCACAGCACAGGGCAGGGGACAACCUUCCCUCCGGCCUCACCUUUGCUCGCUGGCAUUUUCGUAAAGGCCCAAUACAAAUAUAGAAUGUGUAAUUUUCGCGUCAUUCUUGGCAAAUCCCAGGUGCGCCCCAUUAGCAGAGUUCCAAGGAUGCCAUUUUCUAUCAAGAAAAAGACAUGCCGCAUCGUAGAGCUUAGCUCAGGGCCCUAUUAAUAGCAAUCCUAAUUAUAUGGCUGCAAAGUUAAUUCAUAGCAAUGAUUAGUGUCAGAAUCAAAGGCAUCAGGCAUCAAUAUUGAUGGAAUUGCAUAAGCUCCAUAAACAGAGAACAAGCAUUCCGACCCAUCCACCCACCACCCCCUCAGCAGUGGUUUGCUGUUAACUAUUGCAUUAAAUGUCUCUUCCAAUUUCGCCAGAUCAAAAUGACUCCAUUGCUCAGCAUCUUCCUCCCCACUGCUGAAACCUUUGCCCGGCCAGCUCCGAACGG